GAUGAACGCUGGCGGCGUGCCUAAUACAUGCAAGUCGAGCGAACGGACGAGAAGCUUGCUUCUCUGAUGUUAGCGGCGGACGGGUGAGUAACACGUGGAUAACCUACCUAUAAGACUGGGAUAACUUCGGGAAACCGGAGCUAAUACCGGAUAAUAUUUUGAACCGCAUGGUUCAAAAGUGAAAGACGGUCUUGCUGUCACUUAUAGAUGGAUCCGCGCUGCAUUAGCUAGUUGGUAAGGUAACGGCUUACCAAGGCAACGAUGCAUAGCCGACCUGAGAGGGUGAUCGGCCACACUGGAACUGAGACACGGUCCAGACUCCUACGGGAGGCAGCAGUAGGGAAUCUUCCGCAAUGGGCGAAAGCCUGACGGAGCAACGCCGCGUGAGUGAUGAAGGUCUUCGGAUCGUAAAACUCUGUUAUUAGGGAGGAACAUAUGUGUAAGUAACUGUGCACAUCUUGACGGUACCUAAUCAGAAAGCCACGGCUAACUACGUGCCAGCAGCCGCGGUAAUACGUAGGUGGCAAGCGUUAUCCGGAAUUAUUGGGCGUAAAGCGCGCGUAGGCGGUUUUUUAAGUCUGAUGUGAAAGCCCACGGCUCAACCGUGGAGGGUCAUUGGAAACUGGAAAACUUGAGUGCAGAAGAGGAAAGUGGAAUUCCAUGUGUAGCGGUGAAAUGCGCAGAGAUAUGGAGGAACACCAGUGGCGAAGGCGACUUUCUGGUCUGUAACUGACGCUGAUGUGCGAAAGCGUGGGGAUCAAACAGGAUUAGAUACCCUGGUAGUCCACGCCGUAAACGAUGAGUGCUAAGUGUUAGGGGGUUUCCGCCCCUUAGUGCUGCAGCUAACGCAUUAAGCACUCCGCCUGGGGAGUACGACCGCAAGGUUGAAACUCAAAGGAAUUGACGGGGACCCGCACAAGCGGUGGAGCAUGUGGUUUAAUUCGAAGCAACGCGAAGAACCUUACCAAAUCUUGACAUCCUUUGACAACUCUAGAGAUAGAGCUUUCCCCUUCGGGGGACAAAGUGACAGGUGGUGCAUGGUUGUCGUCAGCUCGUGUCGUGAGAUGUUGGGUUAAGUCCCGCAACGAGCGCAACCCUUAAGCUUAGUUGCCAUCAUUAAGUUGGGCACUCUAAGUUGACUGCCGGUGACAAACCGGAGGAAGGUGGGGAUGAUGUCAAAUCAUCAUGCCCCUUAUGAUUUGGGCUACACACGUGCUACAAUGGACAAUACAAAGGGCAGCGAAACCGCGAGGUCAAGCAAAUCCCAUAAAGUUGUUCUCAGUUCGGAUUGUAGUCUGCAACUCGACUACAUGAAGCUGGAAUCGCUAGUAAUCGUAGAUCAGCAUGCUACGGUGAAUACGUUCCCGGGUCU
rnacentral:rRNA from 1 species